CCUACGGGAGGCAGCAGUGGGGAAUUUUGGACAAUGGGGGAAACCCUGAUCCAGCCAUGCCGCGUGUGUGAAGAAGGCCUUCGGGUUGUAAAGCACUUUCGGACGGAACGAAAUCGCGCGGGUGAACACCUCGCGUGGAUGACGGUACCGUAAGAAGAAGCACCGGCUAACUACGUGCCAGCAGCCGCGGUAAUACGUAGGGUGCGAGCGUUAAUCGGAAUUACUGGGCGUAAAGCGUGCGCAGGCGGCGUCGCAAGUCAGGCGUGAAAUCCCCGAGCUUAACUGGGGAAUUGCGCUUGAAACUACGAUGCUUGAGUGUGGCAGAGGGAGGUGGAAUUCCACGUGUAGCGGUGAAAUGCGUAGAUAUGUGGAGGAACACCGAUGGCGAAGGCAGCCUCCUGGGCCAACACUGACGCUCAUGCACGAAAGCGUGGGGAGCAAACAGGAUUAGAUACCCUUGUAGUCC
rnacentral:rRNA from 1 species